CAGCCUCCCAAAGUGCUGGGAUUACAGGCAUGAGCCACUGCGCCCAGCCUAAAUCACUUUCAGAAAGUUAAGAGAUUAUGUCCAGAUGUGGUAAAUCAAGAAACAGAAAAUUAUGUGUAUUAUAAGAAAUAGGUGGCUCAAACCUGUAAUCCCAGCAUUUUGGAAGGCCGAGGCGGGCAGAUGACUUGAGCCCAGGAGUUCGAGA
rnacentral:lncRNA from 1 species